GAUCCUGGCUCAGGAUGAACGCUAGCUACAGGCUUAACACAUGCAAGUCGAGGGGAAACGACAUCGAAAGCUUGCUUUUGAUGGGCGUCGACCGGCGCACGGGUGAGUAACGCGUAUCCAACCUGCCCACCACUUGGGGGAUAACCUUGCGAAAGUAAGACUAAUACCCAAUGAUAUCUCUAGAAGACAUCUGAAAGGGAUUAAAGAUUUAUCGGUGAUGGAGUGGGGAGUGCGUCUGAUUAGU
rnacentral:rRNA from 1 species